AGCGAACGUUAGCGGCGCGCUUAACACAUGCAAGUCGCACGAGAAAGGGCUUCGGCCCCGGUAAAGUGGCGCACGGGUGCGUAACACGUAGGCAAUCUUCCUUGAGCGGGGAUAACGUUUCGAAAGAGACGCUAAUACCGCAUAAGACCACGACCGGUUCGCCGGUUGCGGUCAAAGCUGGCCUCUUCAUGAAAGCUAGCACUCGAGGACGAGCCUGCGGCCCAUCAGCUAGUUGGUAGGGUAACGGCCUACCAAGGCUAAGACGGGUAGCUGGUCUGAGAGGAUGAUCAGCCACACUGGAACUGAAACACGGUCCAGACUCCUACGGGAGGCAGCAGUGGGGAAUAUUGGACAAUGGGCGAAAGCCUGAUCCAGCGACGCCGCGUGAGUGAUGAAGGCCUUCGGGUUGUAAAGCUCUGUUGAGGGAGAAGAAAACAGUUAGGGCGAAUAGGCCUAGCUCUUGACGGUAUCCCUUUAGAAAGCACCGGCUAACUCUGUG
rnacentral:rRNA from 1 species